rnacentral:lncRNA from 1 species
ACCGAACCGAACCCGCGGGACACGCCGAUGUGAGGAGAGAAGCGCUGUCCAUCCACCCCUCUAGAGUGGCAGGUGACAGGUUGCGUGUGGACUAGAGCCCGAGGAGUUCCUGUUCUGACCUGGCGCUCUUGGGCAACACGCGGACCAGUUUGGCGUACGGCCUGGGCGCGACAUUUGGGCGCUCGGACCAUUUCCUCAAGGUGCCAAAGUUUCCUCUCAAUCUGUUCCAUGUCCAUUUUUACUUCACAGCGUUCCCUUCCUCUCCUCUCACAGCGUUUCUGUGGCCCCUAAAAAACUCUUAAAGGGACAGUUCACCCAAAAAUAGACAUUAGCUAUUAAUUUACUCACCCUUCGGUAGGGCUGGGCGAUAUGGCCAAAAAAAUAAUCGCUAUUCAUAUCAGUCAAUAUCGAUAAUUAUCACGAUAAAUGUCAAAUCUUUAUUUCUUUAAAGUUUAAAGCAAGAUUUUUGCUCCAAUGUGAAAGUUGUAAAAACCAGAACAUUAAUUUUACUUAAAGUAAAUAUCUAGAAAAAUUAAUUUCUUCAUCCUUGGUGAGUCAUAUAAUGCAAGUCAAUGGCUGCCGUCACUUUAAGAGUCAAACAAAGCAUCUACAGACAACAACAAAAAAUUAAUACCCAUGGUUCCUGUCGAUAUAUAUUGAGGUCUUAUGAAGUGAAAUGAUCAGUCUGUGCAAGAAACUAUCCCUUUAAAUUUGGUUUGAUCAAAUUUAAGGUCUUAAAUAGUCUGAUUGGAUAUUGAAAUUUAACUUAAUUAUUUUAAGAGGUCUUAAGUAAAUGUUUCAAAGUCAAAUCGAGUAGCCAAAGCAUAGUCAUUUCAAAAUAAGAGUCCUUGUGUAUUUUGGGCUUGUUUUUCAUUUAAAAGUUGGUAACUAUUCGUAUUUUAGUUUCCAUAUUUCACUCAUCUUUUUGACCGAGCAGUCAGAACUAGCAAAGCUUAGCCAUUUCAAAAUAAGAGUCUGUAUUUUAGGCUUGUUUAUUAUUUAAAAGUCCCUUAAUAUGCAUGAAAUCUUUUUAGUUAGCCUAUUAUUUGUGUUUUGGUUCCCAUAUUUCUCAUCGUUUUGAAUGAGCAGCUGAAACAGUAAAGCAUAUAAAUUUCAUAAAUAAGAGUCUGUGGUGUAUUUAAAUACACCACAAAAUAAGUGGUGUAUUUUGGCCUUAUUAUUUAAAAGUCCCUUAAUAUGCAUAAAAUCUUUUUUUCUUUCAUAUUGGUAUUUUGGAUCCCAUAUUUUAAUUUUUUUUGAAUGAGCAACCAAAAGUGGUAGAUAAUAUAAAUUUCAAAAUAAGAGUCCCGAUAUAUUUUUGGUCUUGAUCGAUUAAAAUUCUUUUUUCCUGGUUAUUAUUUGUAUUUUGGUUAAAAUUUGACAUUUAAAUCAAUGUCAACUUAUAUCUUCUCUCUUGGGAAAAGAAAAGAAAGACUAAAAGCAUUAUUUAACACAUAGAUUUUAUUAGUAACACUACAAUGUAUAUAUUUAAUAAGUGAACAAAUAUUGACAAAUCUCUACUUCAUGUGUAUUGAUAUAUAAGAACAGAAACCAAUUUCAUAUAUAUGUAAAUAUUAGAUAAAUCACAUCUUGAGUAUUUAAAUCAAACUUGGAGCUGAAACUAAUUCAGUCUGUUUAAUUAAGUGAAAGAAUUGGAGAUACUUGAUUUAAUUUGGGAUUAUAUGGGUUUGUUCUGUAACAGCGUUCUGUAUUUAUAUUGUGCAAGUCUUAAAAACGCUUAAAUUUGAUUUCUAAACUCUGCAGAAGCCCUGUGUUAUUAGAAAGUGGGCCACGGAUCCUGCUUCUUCCGUCUCGCUCCAAGGCCUGCCAUUCAUGAGCUAUUUCUGUCAUCAUUAUAUGGUUAGCGGUUGAGGAAGCCUACAUUCACAUAACGGCACGUCUUCCAGACGUCCUCACUUGUGGCUGCGCCGUGGCCUGAAGAAAGCGAAAUGCUGUCGAGCGCUUCUUCUGUCAGAUCAGAGCUGAUUAGGGGUUUCGGACUCGGUGUUCUGAGCAGAAAAUGAUUUUCUCAGCUUUCCUCGGCUUGAUAAUGACCUAAUUAACCCGAUCAUCCAAGUCGUUAGAGGGCCAAUUGCACUAGACUCGGUUCCUCGCUCUGAGUUUCAUCAAAUGUUCACUAGUUAGUUUUCUAAUCAUUCAUGAGUCAUUCUGAGUAAUUAGAAAUUAGUUCUUAAUGUGGUUUUUAGAACGGAAUCCAUGGCGUUGCUGCACUGAUGUGUUUUUCCGAAUCCUUUGACUUUAGGUAAUUUAACAGCCUCGCAAAAGUGAGUAAAUCCACAGGAUGUCUUUAGGGUUUCUGUGCGCAAAACUUUUCUGUUGUUUAGACCUGGUUUUGAGGGGUUUUUUUUGACUGUGACACUGAUCUGCUUGAAUGAUCUGGUGGAAAAAAUCUAGUUUACUAUGCAACUCAUAAUACUAUGAAUUUCAGUAUUGGGAAAUUGACACUCAUUUGACUUAAGCUGGGAAAAAAUCCAAAUGUCAAAUUGUUGCAUGCCUUAAAAUAUAUGCACCAGUUCAUAUUUGUUGAUAUUUCUGUCAGAGCUUUCUUGAUUGUGUAGGUGUUGUUUUCAAUUAAAGCAAUUAAUUUGUAAAAAAAAUUGUUGCAAAAAAUAUUAAUUUAUACUAUCAUAAUUUAAAAUUCUUAUUAAUAAUAAAAGUAAAAAUAAAACAAAUUAAGUUAAUAAUAUUUUUGAUUUUAAUAUCAUUCUUUAUAUUUUAUAUAGUUCAAAUUUAU